GCGCAUGCAGGUGGUUUGUUAAGUCAGAUGUGAAAGCCCGGGGCUCAACCUCGGAAUUGCAUUUGAAAACUGGCAAACUAGAGUACUGUAGAGGGGGUAGAAUUUCAGGUGUAGCGGUGAAAUGCGUAGAGAUCUGAAGGAAUACCGGUGGCGAAGGCGGCCCCCUGGACCAGAUACUGACACUCAGAUGCGAAAGCGUGGGGAGCAAACAGGAUUAGAUACCCUGAUAG
rnacentral:rRNA from 1 species